AUGGGUUAUUUGUGCACGCGGUCCUUCCGCAUUUUUAGCGCACUUAAAUCCAGUCCUUUUAUUUCUUUUUAAGUUUAAUCUCUCAUUUUAUUUUUGUUUCAUUUUAAUCCACAUUAAAGCGUUGCAUUUUGAGGAUUGGGAAUAUUUCCCUUUCGGUCCCUCAUGUUAUCCGCGCGCUGCACUUUAGCCGUUCUUUUAUUUUUUUUAAUUCUGUUUGUUACCCGUUUAAUUUUGUUUUAAUUUCA
rnacentral:lncRNA from 1 species